ACCGGUCUUCGGUCGAGGGUAUACGAGUAGCUGCGCUCCCCUGCUAGACCUCCAAACAAGCUCUCAAGAACUGUGUGCUGAAAGGAGGUCAAAGU
rnacentral:sRNA from 1 species